rnacentral:tmRNA from 1 species
CUUGCAAUUUCCAGUAUAAAAGAUUAUAAUCGCAACAUCGCGAAAGCGGUGAUGAUUCUGAACCCGUUGUGGAAUAGACGUUUUGGACCCGGGGGCGGUACCCGGCACCUCCACCAAUAAAAAAUAUGGGGGUGUAUCAGUUUCGACAGACGCAAUAAAGACAAAUGGCUGAAUCCGACGCGGUGUCGUUAAAAACCAAUAAAAAAAUGAAUGCGAACGAUAAUGUUCGUCUUGCAAUGGCUGCCUAAUAGAUUAGGUUUGAUAUAAUUGGCGAUUGUUGAUUAUAUCUGUUCAGCUUUUUUGCGGGGCCGCCGGGUGCCUGGCACCAGAAAC